rnacentral:rRNA from 1 species
GAUGAACGCUGGCGGCGUGCCUAAUACAUGCAAGUCGAGCGAACGGACGAGAAGCUUGCUUCUCUGAUGUUAGCGGCGGACGGGUGAGUAACACGUGGAUAACCUACCUAUAAGACUGGGAUAACUUCGGGAAACCGUAGCUAAUACCGGAUAAUAUUUUGAACCGCAUGGUUCAAAAGUGAAAGACGGUCUUGCUGUCACUUAUAGAUGGAUCCGCGCUGCAUUAGCUAGUUGGUAAGGUAACGGCUUACCAAGGCAACGAUGCAUAGCCGACCUGAGAGGGUGAUCGGCCACACUGGAACUGAGACACGGUCCAGACUCCUACGUGAGGCAGCAGUAGGGAAUCUUCCGCAAUGGGCGAAAGCCCGACGGAGCAACGCCGCGUGAGUGAUGAAGGUCUUCGGAUCGUAAAACUCUGUUAUUAGGGAAGAACAUAUGUGUAAGUAACUGUGCACAUCUUGACGGUACCUAAUCAGAAAGCCACGGCUAACUACGUG